rnacentral:rRNA from 1 species
UGUUGGGUUAAGUCCCGCAACGAGCGCAACCCCUGCAUCCAGUUGCCAUCGGGCGAGCCGGGCACUCUGGAGGGACUGCCGGCGACAAGCCGGAGGAAGGUGGGGAUGACGUCAAGUCAUCAUGGCCCCUUAUGUCCAGGGCGACACACGUGCUACAAUGGCCGGCACAGCGGGAAGCGGAGGGGCGACCCUGAGCGGAAUCCCUUGAAAGCCGGUCCCAGUUCGGAUUGCAGUCUGCAACUCGACUGCAUGAAGUUGGAAUCGCUAGUAAUCGCGGAUCAGCCAAGCCGCGGUGAAUACGUUCCCGGGCCUU